AGAAAUGAUGUGUAAUUACGUAAAAACACUUGUAAAAUAAACUUUAUAUUGCGGUACAGUACGGACGAUUACGUUCACGCUGAAAGAACUACAAGAACUACAAUUCCAAUGAUGCUUAGAGCGCCGAACCAGGAAGUAGUGAAUAAGUGGGAAGCAGCCGGAAAUAGACCAUCGCUCUAUGAACGCUAGUAUGACAGUUUUGAUGGAAGUCAUACAGCGGUGGUGUUGUGCGCUCAAAAAUGACGUAACGAUUGGAUUUAUGUAAGUUUGAUCAAACUUAGAAUAGUUGCAGCUUCUGCUAGGACAUUAAACUGCCACAGAGGUGCACCGGUGUGAUGUAUAGAUAGGUGGACACCCUCUGAGGUCAGGAGGUUGGCGUAUGAAGGAUAAGGGGGAGGAUCUGUGGGCACUGAGCCAGCUCCGGCGCAGGGAGGGAAUAGGAAGAUGGAGCAGCGCUUGUUCUGCAUAAUCAAUCAGAGGCAGCGGAGGAAGCGAGGAGGCUGCGUGGAAACAUUGAACCGAUCUUCAAGGGGCUUGAAAAGAAAGGGCAUUGAAGCGAUCACAACUGGACUGUUCACAUUGUCUUACAACACGAUAUGCCUCUAAUUUGAGUAGGCUGCAUCAGUUCAAGCUCCAGGACUAGGGGAGUCCUGUGUUCAACUUCACUGAUGAAAAGAGGAGAUGAGAGGCUUGGAUGAGUCAAGAGGAGGAAAGGAGAGCAAAGGCCAAGUUAAAUGGCGGUAAGGAUAAACGGUAAAGCUGACCCUUAAGGUCAAGUGCUGAUCCAG